UACGUAGGGCGCAAGCGUUGUCCGGAAUUAUUGGGCGUAAAGAGCUCGUAGGCGGUUUGUCGCGUCUGCUGUGAAAACCUAAGGCUCAACCUUGGGCUUGCAGUGGGUACGGGCAGACUAGAGUGCGGUAGGGGUGACUGGAAUUCCUGGUGUAGCGGUGGAAUGCGCAGAUAUCAGGAGGAACACCCGAUGGCGAAGGCAGGUCACUGGGC
rnacentral:rRNA from 1 species